rnacentral:rRNA from 1 species
AUUGAACGCUGACGGCAUGGCUAAAACAUGCAAGUCGAACGAUCCCUUCGGGGAGAGUGGCGAAAGGGCGAGGAAUAGAAUCGAAUGUACCCCAAGGUGGGGGAUAGCCUCUGGAAACGGAGGGUAAUACCCCAUGUGCUCUACGGAGGAAAGGUUUACCGCCUUGGGAGCAGCGAUUCUCCUAUCAGGUAGUUGGUGAGGUAACGGCUCACCAAGCCGAAGACGGGUAGCGGGUGUGAGAGCAUGACCCGCCGCAUCGGGACUGAGACACUGCCCGGACUCCUACGGGAGGCUGCAGUAACGAAUCUUCCGCAAUGGGCGAAAGCCUGACGGAGCAAUGCCGCGUGUGGGAUGAAGCAUCUUCGAUGUGUAAACCACUGUCAGGGUCUAGGAAUACUGACCAGACCCAAAGGAAGGGCCGGCUAAUUCCGUG